GCCGGCGUGGCUCAACUGGUAGAGCAACCGCCUUGUAAGCGGUAGGUUGGGGGUUCAAGUCCCUCCGCCGGCA
rnacentral:tRNA from 1 species